rnacentral:rRNA from 1 species
UGUUUUACAAAAACAUGUCUUUUUGAGUUAUUUUUAAAGUCUGACCUGCCCACUGAAAUUAUUUAAAUGGCCGCAGUAUUCUAACUGUGCAAAGGUAGCAUAAUCAUUAGUCUUUUAAUUGAAGGCUGGUAUGAACGGUUGGACGAGGUAUAAGCUGUUUCAUAUAAAUUUAUAGUAGAAUUUUAUUUUUUAGUUAAAAAGCUAAAAUUUAAUUAAAAGACGAGAAGACCCUAUAAAUCUUUAUACCUUGUGCUAUUUAAAUUUUUUAGAUAGAUUUUAUUUUUAUGGCGUAAGGUAUUUUGUUGGGGUGAUGUUGAAAUUUAAUGAACUUUCAAUUUGUUAAAGAUCAUUGAUUUAUGAAUUAUUGAUCCAUUAAUAGUGAUUAUAAGAUUAAGUUACUUUAGGGAUAACAGCGUAAUUUUUUUGGAGAGUUCAUAUCGAUAAAAAAGUUUGCGACCUCGAUGUUGGAUUAAGAUAUAGUUUUAGGUGUAGCCGCUUAAAU